AUUGAACGCUGGCGGAAUGCUUAACACAUGCAAGUCGAGCGGGGUGUAGCAAUACACCUAGCGGCGGACGGGUGAGGAAUACAUAGGAAUCUGCCUCAGAGCGGGGGAUAGCCCGGGGAAACCCGGAUUAAUACCGCAUGAUGUCGCAAGACCAAAGUGGGGGACCGCAAGGCCCCACACUCUGAGAUGAGCCUAUGUCCGAUUAGCUAGUUGGCGGGGUAAUAGCCCACCAAGGCGACGAUCGGUAGCUGGUCUGAGAGGACGAUCAGCCACACCGGAACUGAGACACGGGUCCGGACUCCUACGGGAGGCAGCAGUGGGGAAUAUUGGACAAUGGGCGCAAGCCUGAUCCAGCAAUUCCGCGUGGGUGAAGAAGGCCU
rnacentral:rRNA from 1 species